rnacentral:sRNA from 1 species
UAGCUUCCUUAUCAUUACGUGGGGUUA